CAAACAUAUAAGGCCAUAACUAAAGGGUGUAUACGUCAUGGAAAUUUUCCUGACUUAGUUCAAGAUGGCAUCUUAAAGUCUGUACUGAAAGAGUCGUAGUAUAGCCUUGAAGCUUGUUUAUGCGUUAUUGUAAUUCGUCUGGGACAAAAUGGCGCAAACAUAUUAUGCACUGAGGUUAUUGCUUAAAGAAACAGUUAUGAAAAACAAUAUGUUCCAUUUCUAACACCUUGUCAGUUUGCAAUAUCUCUUAAAGACAAAGUACACAGUUUAAGAAAUAUAACAUUUCAUUAUAAAACUUGUAAUAUUUGCAUUUGCCCAUAACACUACCUUCCCCUUCCUAUACAAACAAGUUAUUAUAAUAUGCUUCCUUUUCAAAUAAAAACAGUUUUACACUAGUAUUAGAGUAUUACUGUGUGAUGAUUUAAUUAUUACACUAUCAACUACUCUACACCAAAUAUUA